CGAGGACGCUCAUUUUGACCCGCAGGCAUUCGCGCCUCGGAGGAGCGCUCAUUAUGCAUGCGUGCGAUCAUUUAAGAUUCAGGCCUGCUUUGAGACUCGCGUAUCUGCCAGCACCGGGGCAUUUCUGCACACACUUCCUGUGCAUUCCCCGCACGAAGGAGUCAAGCCCGCGUUCCCGCACUGGCUGAGAGCUGUCUGCUGGCGCCCGUACCAGACAGUGCUGGACUCUUGGCUGAUCAGCAAAACAUCGGGAAGCAAGAGAUCAGAGCUGAUCCAAUGAAACGAGGCAGCACCCCGGGAAAACUCCAACGAUGCCAAAGAGAAGGUAGGCAAAGAAGGACAGCUCUGAUCUGCAGGGAUUCAGAGGAGGGCAUCCCAGGUAAGGGGCAACACGUGAGC
rnacentral:lncRNA from 1 species